rnacentral:lncRNA from 1 species
GGAGGGAGGCGACACUAAAUUCUCUCCUGACACCAACUGUAUCUUUUUCAGAACCGAAAAGGGAAACAACUCCGUCCUUGACCUUCAACAAGAAAUUGACUCAGCUAGCUUAACUAUUCAAACAAACAACUGUGUACUCUCUUCAAUUCCGGGGAUGAGUUUGAUUUACCGUAAAUGACUGCAUUUAAUGAACUAAAUUAUGCUAUUUAAAUGCAUUUUGUGAAUGGGAGCGCCGUUUGUUACCCGGCGCUCUGGCGAGGCUAAAUUGUGCUGUAAAUGAUAUGAUAUGGAACAUAUGUGCGGCAUUCAUAAUUUAAGGGUUGCUAUGGCGCGCCUUGUCGGGAGGCCACACUGAGUAGCGAGUCUUUAUUUACCUGCUGAAAUGAAGGUGAUAUCUCCGCGAAUCACGAGGUCUCGCUGACCUUGGCAGAAUUACAGAGCUAAUAUUUUCACAUGGAUGAGCUGUUCCGGCGCGAUCUCUCUGAUGGCGAUGACACAGAUCGGCUUCCUGCGGCGCAGCGCCGAUUUCUCCCGGCUUUUGGCUUCCCCGCCCUUCUUUCCUCGCACAAACAUUUGCGGCUGCCUCCACGAGGGCCAUCCUCCCUCCGUUAAGAUGAGGAAACUGAGUCGGAGAAAGGCUAAGACGUUUGUCUGGGGUCUCACAAUGAGGAAACUGAGGCAAACAGAGUUCAAUGACUUGCCCAGGGUCACAUAGCUAGAUAAAGCAAACCCCAAUUUUACCACAAUGGAGUUUUGUCCUUGAGUACUACUACAUGAAUGGAGGCGGGAUGAUGGAUCAAAGUGAGCCCAACAGAGGAAAGCCUCUCUCCAAUUCAUUUCCCUGAGCACCCCAAAUAUUAAGAGCAGUGCCUGGACCAGGCAUCCAGGAUAAGGAAUAAACCAAGAGUAGAUUUUCCUUCUACA